UAGGGAAUCUUCCGCAAUGGGCGAAAGCCUGACGGAGCAACGCGCGUGAGUGAAGAAGGAUUUCGGUUCGUAAAGCUCUGUUGUUAGGGAAGAAUGAUUGUGUAGUAACUAUACACAGUAGAGACGGUACCUAACCAGAAAGCCACGGCUAACUACGUGCCAGCAGCCGCGGUAAUACGUAGGUGGCAAGCGUUGUCCGGAAUUAUUGGGCGUAAAGCGCGCGCAGGUGGUUUAAUAAGUCUGAUGUGAAAGCCCACGGUUCANCCGUGGAGGGUCAUUGGAAACUGUUAAACUUGAGUGCAGGAGAGAAAAGUGGAAUUCCUAGUGUAGCGGUGAAAUGCGUAGAGAUUAGGAGGAACACCAGUGGCGAAGGNGGCUUUUUGGCCUGUAACUGACACUGAGGCGCGAAAGCGUGGGGAGCAAACAGGAUUAGAUACCCUGGUAGUCCACCGCCGUAAACGAUGAGUGCUAAGUGUUGGNCUCAUAAGAGAUCAGUGCUGCAGCUAACGCAUUAAGNACUCCGCCUGGGGAGUACGACCGCAAGUU
rnacentral:rRNA from 1 species